AACGAACGCUGGCGGCAGGCCUAACACAUGCAAGUCGAACGAACCCUUCGGGGUGAGUGGCGCACGGGUGCGUAACACGUGGGAAUAUACACAUAGGUAAGGAAUAACACAGAGAAAUUUGUGCUAAUACCUUAUAAUGACUCCGGUCCAAAGAUUUAUCGCCUAUGGAUUAGCCCGCGCUAGAUUAGUUUGUUGGUGAGGUAAAAGCUCACCAAGACUACGAUCUAUAGCUGGUCUUAGAGGAUGAUCAGCCACACUGGAACUGAGACACGGUCCAGACUCCUACGGGAGGCAGCAGUGAGGAAUAUUGCGCAAUGGAGGAAACUCUGACGCAGCCAUGCCGCGUGAAUGAAGAAGGCCCUAGGGUUGUAAAAUUCUUUCAGAUGCGAAGAUAAUGACGGUAACAUCAGAAGAAGCUCCGGCUAAAUUCG
rnacentral:rRNA from 1 species